GACGAACGCUGGCGGCGUGCUUAACACAUGCCAGUCGAACGGAAAGGCCCUGCUUGCCGGGUACUCGAGUGGCGAACGGGUGAGUAACACGUGGGUGAUCUGCCCUGCACUUCGGGAUAAGCCUGGGAAACUGGGUCUAAUACCGGAUAGGAGCCAUUUUUAGUGUGAUGGUUGGAAAGUUUUUUCGGUGUAGGAUGAGCUCGCGGCCUAUCAGCUUGUUGGUGGGGUAAUGGCCUACCAAGGCGGCGACGGGUAGCCGGCCUGAGAGGGUGGACGGCCACAUUGGGACUGAGAUACGGCCCAGACUCCUACGGGAGGCAGCAGUGGGGAAUAUUGCACAAUGGGCGCAAGCCUGAUGCAGCGACGCCGCGUGGGGGAGGACGGCCUUCGGGUUGUAAACUCCUUUCGCUAGGGACGAAGCUUUUUGUGACGGUACCUAGAGAAGAAGCACCGGCUAACUACGUG
rnacentral:rRNA from 1 species